rfam:Felis catus isolate Cinnamon breed Abyssinian chromosome C1, whole genome shotgun sequence.
ACCUGGGUGGCUCAGUUGGUUAAGCGUCUGACUUUGGCUCAGGUCAUGAUCUCACGGCUCGUGAGUUCAAGCCCCACAUCAGGCU